GAUGAAGAACGUAGCGAAAUGCGAUAAGUAAUGUGAAUUGCAGAAUUCAGUGAAUCAUCGAAUCUUUGAACGCACAUUGCGCCCGCUAGUAUUCUGGCGGGCAUGCCUGUCCGAGCGUCAUUUCAACCCUCAAGCCCCCGGGCUUGGUGUUGGGGAUCGGCGAGCCUCCGCGCCCGCCGUCCCCUAAAUCUAGUGGCGGUCUCGCUGUAGCUUCCUCUGCGUAGUAGCACACCUCGCACUGGGUAACAGCGCGGCCACGCCGUUAAACCCCCAACUUCUGAACGUUUGACCUCGGAUCAGGUAGGAAUACCCGCUGAACUUAAGCAUAUCAUAAGCGGAGGA
rnacentral:misc_RNA from 1 species